GCGACACAGCGGCCGGCGGCCUGGGUAGUACGGUGGGGGAGAACGUUGUCCGUAUGUGUUGGGCGUAAAUGUCGGGCGGGCGGUUCAUUAAGUCAGAUGUGAAAGCCCACGGCUCAACCGUGGAGGGUCAUUGGAAACUGGGGGACUUGAGUGCAGAAGAGGAAAGCGGAAUUCCACGUGUAGCGGUGAAAUGCGUAGAGAUGUGGAGGAACACCAGUGGCGAAGGCGGCUUUCUGGUCUGUAACUGACGCUGAGGCGCGAAAGCGUGGGGAGCAAACAGGAUUAGAUACCCUGGUAGUC
rnacentral:rRNA from 1 species